AAAAAUAUUUGUUUUGCUUAGUUUUUUUAAAAACUUUGUUCACAUCCAGAAAGUGCAAUUAACAGAAUUUCUCCUCCCCCCCUUUGCAGGAUAGUGGAAAUAUACAGCAGAAGAUUACAGGUUCAGGAGCGCCUCACCAAACAAAUCGCCAUAGCCAUCACAGAAGCCCUGAAGCCCGCUGGGGUUGGUGUCGUCGUGGAAGCCACGCACAUGUGCAUGGUCAUGCGAGGGGUUCAGAAAAUGAACAGUAAAACUGUAACCAGCACAAUGCUCGGAGUAUUUCGGGAAGACCCAAAGACGCGGGAAGAGUUUUUGACGCUCAUCCGCAGCUGAACGGUGCCAUCCUUUCAGGAAUUCCCCUUCGGACCCGUCUUGUGUUGCGUUCUUUCCACUGCCUCUUCUCCGUCGUCUCCCUUUUCAACGUAUCUUAUCACUUGAAGUUUUCUGUUUAAUUCCAAUCAGAGGUUCUUUCUAGUGAGUCCCACUUAUUCCCUCAUACGGUCUCUUACAUCAAGGGUUCGUCACAGUCCUGGAAAUGUUUUCUUGUUCUCUGUUCAUUGAUUAUUUCAAGGCGGAUUCUCAGUCAGAGUGGGUGCGGUUGGUUGGUUUUGGUUUGGUAAGAAUGGAAUAGAAUUUUAUAAACAGUGCUUUUUGGGGUCAUUUAAAACACGUUGAGUAAGUGUUCCUGCUGAGUGUCUGUGAGAGAGGGCGGGGGUUCCUCUUUCUUUCUAACUUGCCCUUUCUUCUCAAGCCAAAAAACCAAGGAUUGGGCAGCUUCACCUCUGAGAGGAAUAAGGAGGUAAUAAAACAUAAUUGCUGCACUGUGUUACACUGCCCGGUUGAAGCAUCUCAGUGUUGAACUCGAAAAUACCUGGAGGACCAGAGGUUGAGAACUCCUGUAUUAGAACAUAAUCCGAGAACCUUUAUUGGAUUCAUUGUCUCACCUCCUUUUUAAUCCUGGGAAUCGUCUGAAGAAAGAGGCUGAAUUCUCAGUGGCAGAAGCUUGACUCCCCUGCUUGACGAUUCAGAACUAUAAGCCGUGGCUGGGAACGAAGAGGCCCCUUUGCCAAGAAAAAAUUUCAUUAGGUGCUCCCCGAUUCUAAGAGAGGAGAUAUUUUGAGGACAGAGUCCCAUAGCCCGUCUUCUCUUGCCUAUUGAGACCGCUGGAGAUUCAUGCAUUCUCUGUGAUGUUGGUGCAUCUAAACACAGGGUCUGCUGACCCUUAUCCAGUCAACAACCGGUCCCCAGGAAGUGUCUUAUACAGCCCUGGUCAUCAUGCUCCCCUCUAGUUAAAGCUGAUUAAGAACUCUCCUUUGUCUGCUCCCCCUACCACCACCCUGAACAAUAGGUUUCAGAUAACCUGUCCUUAGAAAUAAGAAUGUGUGAAGGGAUGAUUGUGUGUGAUUAUCACAUCAGCAGCUUUUCUCAAGUCCUGCACACUGUGAACUUGCUUGCUUGUGUGAAUU